AUGGCCUGGACACCUCUCCUCCUGGGCCUCCUGGCUCACUGCACAGGCUCUGUGGUCUCCUAUGAGCUGACUCAGCCUUCUUCAGUGUCGGUGUCUCUGGGACAGACGGCCAGGAUGACAUGUCAGGGAAACAACAUUGGAAGUAAAGUUGCUUACUGGUACCAGCAGAAGUCAGGCCAGGCCCCUGUGCUAGUCAUGUAUGAUAGCAGCCGGCCCUCAGGGAUCCCUGACCGGUUCUCUGGCUCCAACUCGGGGAACACCGCCACCCUGACCAUCAGCGGCACCCUGGCCGAGGACGAGGCUGACUAUUACUGUGCAGCAGGUGAUGGCAGUGGGAGCAGCUGGCGUUACUCACGGUGACACAGACAGAUGGGGAAGUGCAACAAGAACCUCCCUCCCAGGCCUGGCGCUCACUC